rnacentral:piRNA from 1 species
UGCCAGCUGUGUUGUGCACAGGUGU